rnacentral:lncRNA from 1 species
GGCAAUAAAUGAACUACAGGCUCAACAUUUGUGGGUGGAGGGAGACUCUAACUAUCAUCAAAUGGAUCAAUAACACAUCUUCAGGCAAGGGCAUAAACAUUCCUGUUCUUAAUGAUAUAAAAUUAUGGCUUUCUAAUUCUGCAAGAGUUAUGGUAUCUCAUAUUUUCCAUGAAGCCAGCAGAGCCACAGACUAUAUUUCUAAAGCAUCUUGGCAGAGGAUGUUAACUAUUACCAUACAGAUA